rnacentral:rRNA from 1 species
UACGUAGGGUGCGAGCGUUAAUCGGAAUUACUGGGCGUAAAGCGUGCGCAGGCGGUUUUGUAAGCCAGAUGUGAAAUCCCCGGGCUUAACCUGGGAAUGGCAUUUGGGACUGCAAGGCUUGAGUGCGGCAGAGGAGACUGGAAUUCCUGGUGUAGCAGUGAAAUGCGUAGAUAUCAGGAGGAACACCGAUGGCGAAGGCAGGUCUCUGGGCUGACACUGACGCUGAAACGCGAAAGCUAGGGGAGCGAACGGG